GCUGGCUGUGGGAAGUUCUAUGAGGGA
rnacentral:piRNA from 1 species